UAGGGAAUCUUCGGCAAUGGACGAAAGUCUGACCGAGCAACGCCGCGUGAGUGAAGAAGGUUUUCGGAUCGUAAAACUCUGUUGAUAGAGAAGAACGUUGGUGAGAGUGGAAAGCUCAUCAAGUGACGGUAACUACCCAGAAAGGGACGGCUAACUACGUGCCAG
rnacentral:rRNA from 1 species